rnacentral:rRNA from 2 species
UAGGGAAUCUUCGGCAAUGGGGGCAACCCUGACCGAGCAACGCCGCGUGAGUGAAGAAGGUUUUCGGAUCGUAAAGCUCUGUUGUAAGUCAAGAACGGGUGUGAGAGUGGAAAGUUCACACUGUGACGGUAGCUUACCAGAAAGGGACGGCUAACUACGUGCCAGCAGCCGCGGUAAUACGUAGGUCCCGAGCGUUGUCCGGAUUUAUUGGGCGUAAAGCGAGCGCAGGCGGUUUGAUAAGUCUGAAGU